UACGAAGGGUGCAAGCGUUACUCGGAAUUACUGGGCGUAAAGCGUGCGUAGGUGGUGAGUUAAGUCUGUCGUGAAAGCCCCGGGCUCAACCUGGGAAUGGCGAUGGAUACUGGCUCGCUAGAGUGCGGUAGAGGAGAGUGGAAUUCCCGGUGUAGCAGUGAAAUGCGUAGAGAUCGGGAGGAACACCAGUGGCGAAAGCGGCUACCUGGCCCACUCUUGACGCUGAGGCGCGAAAGCUAGGGGAGCAAACGGG
rnacentral:rRNA from 1 species